UACGUAGGUGGCGAGCGUUGUCCGGAUUUACUGGGCGUAAAGGGAGCGUAGGCGGAUUUUUAAGUGAGAUGUGAAAUACUCGGGCUCAACUUGAGUGCUGCAUUUCAAACUGGAAGUCUAGAGUGCAGGAGAGGAGAGUGGAAUUCCUAGUGUAGCGGUGAAAUGCGUAGAGAUUAGGAAGAACACCAGUGGCGAAGGCGAUUCUCUGGACUGUAACUGACGCUGAGGCUCGAAAGCGUGGGGAGCAAACAGG
rnacentral:rRNA from 1 species